GGUAGUGACGAUCAAUAACGAUGCGGGACUCUGACGAGGCUCCGCAAUCGGAAUGGGCGUAGUUUAAAUCCUUCGACGAGGAUCAAGUGGAGGGCAAGUCUGGUGCCAGCAGCCGCGGUAAUUCCAGCUCCACUAGCGUAUAUUAAAGUUGCUGCAGUUAAAAAGCUCGUAGUCGGAUCUCGGGAUCGUGUCGACGUUCUCGUGGCGUCUUCUGCGGUUCGCGCCGUCGGGAGUCGUUGCGGGUCGUUGGCCCUGCCGGCGAGGUCCCCGCCUGAUGGCGGGGCUCCACCUUGCUCGUGCAGCCCGCCGUCGCGUUUGGGCGGGUGUCUUUAAUUAGAUGCCCGUUUUUUGAACGUGGCCCGUUUACCUUGAACAAAUCGGAGUGCUCAAAGCAGGCUCUACGUCGCUCGAACGGUAGCGCAUGGAAUAAUGGAAGAGGACCGGCUUCCGCUUCUGUUGGUCUCACGGAGGCAGGUAAUGAUCAAGAGGGACGGACGGGGGCGGAGGUAUGGCCUGGCGAGAGGUGAAAUUCUUGGACCCUGGCCAGACCCUCGAGAGCGAAAGCAUCCGCCAAGGAUGUUUCCAUUGAUCAAGAACGAAAGUCGCGGGAUCGAACGGGAUUAGAUACCCCGGUAGUCGCGACCGUAAACGAUGCCAACCGGGAAUUUGGCGGCGUUACUUCCAUGACCCGUCAAGCGCCCGACCCGGGAAACCGAGAGUCUUUGGGUUCCGGGGGGAGUAUGGUUGCAAAGCUGAAACUUAAAGGAAUUGACGGAAGGGCACCACCAGGAGUGGAGCCUGCGGCUUAAUUUGACUCAACACGGGGAACCUCACCCGGCCCGGACACCGCGAGGAUUGACAGACUGAGAGCUCUUUCUCGAUUCGGUGGGUGGUGGUGCAUGGCCGUUCUUAGUUGGUGGAGCGAUCUGUCUGGUUAAUUCCGAUAACGAACGAGACCCCACCUGCUAACUAGCCCUCGGGUCCGGCUUCUGGCGGGCCCGACGGAAUGAUUCGCUUCUUAGAGGGACUCGCGGCGCCUAGCCGCACGAAGGGGGGCGAUAACAGGUCUGUGAUGCCCUUAGAUGUUCGGGGCUGCACGCGCGCUACACUGAAGGCAUCAGCGUGCGCUUUGUCCGUUCCCUGCCUGAAAAGGCUGGGUAACCCGCUGAACCGCCUUCGUGCCUGGGAUAGGGAUUUGCAAUUAUCUCCCUUGAACGAGGAAUUCCCAGUAGGCGCGAGUCAUCAGCUCGCGUCGAUUACGUCCCUGCCCUUUGUACACACCGCCCGUCGCUACUACCGAUCGAACGAUGUA
rnacentral:rRNA from 1 species